UACAGAGGGUGCGAGCGUUAAUCGGAAUUACUGGCGUAAAGGCGCGUAGGUGGCCUUCUAAGUCGAACGUGAAAUCCCUGGCUCAACCCAGGAACUGCGUCCGAGACUGGGAGGCUUGAAUCCGGGAGAGGGAUGCGGAAUUCCAGGUGUAGCGGUGAAAUGCGUAGAUAUCUGGAGGAACACCGGUGGCGAAGGCGGCAAUCCUGGACCGGUAUUGACACUGAGGCGCGGAAAGCCAGGGGAGCAAACCGGGG
rnacentral:rRNA from 1 species